rnacentral:rRNA from 1 species
UACAGAGGUCUCGAGCGUUAGGCGGAAUCACUGGGCUUAAAGCGUGUGUAGGCGGAUUGGUAAGUACUUUGUGAAAUCCCACGGCUCAACCGUGGAGGGUCAUUGGAAACUGGGGGACUUGAGUACAGAAGAGGAAAGUGGAAUUCCACGUGUAGCGGUGAAAUGCGUAGAGAUGUGGAGGAACACCAGUGGCGAAGGCGACUUUCUGGUCUGUAACUGACGCUGAGGCGCGAAAGCGUGGGGAGCAAACAGG